AAGGAAGAGAAAGAUGAGCGAGGCCCACAUCUGACCCCUUCUUCUGAGUGCCUCCAGGGCAUGUCUGUGGGUUCUGCUUUGUCCAGAUGUUGACAUUUACAGGUACCCUUGGGGUCUGCAGGCUCCGAGCAGAUUUGGAUUCAGAUCAGAAAACAUUUCUUCUUUUUUCAGAGUAUUGUGGGUGGGGGCCUGGUGCUACUGAUGGUUCCAGACUUUCUUUCAGGCAUGUCUUUGCUUCCCAUCAGGAUUCAGAUAUGGUUUUUAGAAAUUCAUCUACAAGCUCAUAGGCUCUCCAGUCAACUGCUAUACAAAUGGGGUUGGACCUAGCUUCCCCUGCUCCACCUGCUGGGAGAGGCACCAUAAUAGACACUUGAAACCCAGCUCAUGGAGAGUGGGGCUUCCAUAUGGGUCUUACAGAUGGGCCAGAUGGAGAGACUCUUCCAUAGGAAGGGUUUGGAAAUUAAGUAUUUCUCUUUCUAUGUAACUAAGCUGCUUAAACAAGACAGGUCCCUGCCUUCAAGGAGCUUUCUUUAAACCCACGUUUUUAACAAAGACCCUGAAAGAAAACUAUCUUCCAUAGCCAUCAGUGCAUAUGUCUGCAUAACCAGCUUUCAUAAGCAAACAGAUGGAGACCACGUGUUCCAUCUUUGGGCUCAGAAAAAGCCCCCAGGGCCAACCGUAGGCCAUGCCACUUGGCUGAUUUAUUCCAUUUUUUCCCUCCUUUCCUGGUAUAUAUGAACAUCACAGGCAUAGGCAUGAAGGUACUUUAGAAAACACUUAUUUUACUAUUUUUUUAAUUAACAGCAGGAGACCUUCAAAGUAAGGAAAAUAUUUCCUGUCCUGUUUGUUUCACAAGGGACACAAAGAUUGAGAGGCUUUCACAGCUUUUCCUACGGUCCCAAAACUAUGAGUGGUAGAUGAAAUAUUCUGGUUCCCACUUUCAGAUUUUAACUUUGGCCUCAGUUUUCUCACCUGUGAAAUAAUAGCUGGACUACAAAAGUUCAAUGAGACAAUCUAAGAAAACUCCUUAGGUCAGAGCCUUGUACGCAGAAGGGACGUCAUUAUUUCUACUGAAUCGUGACCUCUGACUUUCCAGGUGGUGUCUUUCCUUCUAGCUGACCCUGACCCCUGGACCCCCGUGCAGGGUAGGCUUGUGCGCUAAUCAGCUCAUUGGUGUCAAGGUGACACAUCAGAACAUGUAUUAAAGAAGGGAUUUCUUUCUGGAAGUCUCUAAUGAAAGGAGCCAGUCAAAAUGUGAUUUAUCUCAGAGAAUGAAAGUGAUAACGCACAGAACUUGAUUGCACCCCUGGAGUUCUGAUUUUCCUUUUAUUUAGGGUACCCAUGUCUUUCCCUCAUUCUGACUCCAGCAUCUUUCAACUCUAGACCUUCCUCUCUUCUGAUCGCCUCCCAAUUCCUCUGCCACAGACACAUUCAAACCACUUUUCCAAACCAACCAGGAAGGUUUUCUGCUGGUUUGUUAAAACAGCUUAAAGAAAACAAAAUAUUCACAAGAACUCUCUUAAAUCUCAAAGCUAGGUUUGCGAUGAUUCACUAAAAGGAAGAUGCUUUUUCCUGGAACAGGGUGGAGAGGCAGCGAGUCAUGAGGCAAACAAGCCUACACUCGUGCUCCUCAGAUGCUCAAGCACAGCACAGUUUCGGCUCAUAACGCCUCUGGCCCGGUAGUGCCUUUCCUCUGAGAAACUGCAAGCGACUUGAGAGAAGAACUCAUUCCUCCUAUCGCUCAGGGGAAACUUGCAUCAAAUGACUCGGAAGGAGGACACGACAUUCCCAUCAGCAGUCAGACAGCACUGCAUGUUCCUGACCCUCACAGGCCCAUGCCCAGGCCUGGACCUGGGGUUCAUGGGUCAGCUCUUCCCAGCACUUCCAAAAACAUAAUGAGGUCGCCUACUCUAGACCCUGAGGCCCCAGGGCUGGCCCGGCAGCUGGGUUGGCUCACCGGUUUUGGAUGCCGCCUCUGCAGCAAAAUCAGCGGCAAACUUCUUGAGGACCUCUG